CUUGGUCAUUUAGAGGAAGUAAAAGUCGUAACAAGGUUUCCGUAGGUGAACCUGCGGAAGGAUCAUUAACGAGUUUGAACGGAGCUGUUCUGGUCUUUCGGGGCAAGUGAACGCUUCACUCAAUCCAUCUUACACCUGUGCACCUUCGGGGAAAACGGAAAGGAUUCAGAAGUUGGAUAACGACGAACGGAUCCUAAUGUUUUCUCUUCUAUACAAAUCACAAAGUCCUUGGAAAGUCUAUUUGCUUGAUGCAAAUUAAAAUAUAAUACAACUUUCAGCAACGGAUCUCUUGGCUCUCGCAUCGAUGAAGAACGCAGCGAAAUGCGAUAAGUAAUGUGAAUUGCAGAAUUCAGUGAAUCAUCGAAUCUUUGAACGCACCUUGCACUCCUUGGUAUUCCGAGGAGUAUGCCUGUUUGAGUGUCAUGAAAUUCUCAACCUCAUGGUUUUAUUACUGUGAGGCUUGGAUUUGGAAGCCUGCUGGCGUAAGUCGGCUCUUCUUAAAUGUAUUAGCUGCUUGUCCGUGAGUUGGCUCAGAGUGUGAUAAGUAUCAACACUUGGUGGCUGCUUGCUUGGAUGUGGCUUCUAAUCGUCUUCGGACAACUUUCUUAAGAUCUGACCUCAAAUCAGGUAGGACUACCCGCUGAACUUAAGCAUAUCAAUAAGCGGAGGA
rnacentral:rRNA from 1 species